GAACGCCGUAUGCGGUGAAAGUCGCACGUACUGGUGUGGACAGGGGGAAAAGGGAGCGAUAACUUCAAACCCUUACCUAUCUGUAU
rfam:Bacillus sp. 1NLA3E, complete genome.